UCCCUUCAGGUUCCUUAUCCUUCAAACCUAAGUAGUGUCUUGGAUGUUUUAAGGGGGAAAAAAAGUAAGAACAGUAAAACUGAAAUGGACUGGGAGUCUUCAGUGACCAACAAGUUCAUCUCAAACAAAA
ensembl:snoRNA